rnacentral:rRNA from 1 species
AAGGUAGCGUAAUAAUUCGCCCUUUAAUUGUGGGCUUGUAUGAAUGGAUAAACGAAAAAAAAUCUGUCUCCUUAACAUAAAUAAAAUUUGCACUAUAGGUGAAGAUGCCUAAAUAAAAUUAGAAGACAAGAAGACCCCAUAGAGCUUAGUAUUAAUAACUCUAUAUAUUAAAAUAAUUAAAUAUAUUUAAUUUUACCAGUCCUAAAUACUUAGCUGGGGCGGCUAAGGAACUCAAUCUUCCUUUAAAUCACAUAAACAGGCUAUAUUAGCCAAAAAAAUUGACCCUUAAAGAUCAAAAAACUAGCUACCUUGGGGAUAACAGAUUAAUCCUUCUUGAGAGUUCACAUUAACAGAAGGGAUUGACACCUCGAUGUUGGCUUAGGGUACCCAAAGGGUCAGCAGAAGCCCUUAAUGGUAGGUUUGUUCAACCUUUAAAACCCUACGUGAUCUGAGUUCAGACC